AACGAACGCUGGCGGCAGGCUUAGCACAUGCAAGUCGAACGCAUCCUUCGGGGUGAGUGGCAGACGGGUGAGUAACGCGUGGGAACGUGCCCUUCAGUUCGGGAUAACCCAGGGAAACUUGGGCUAAUACCGGAUACGUGCGAGAGCAGAAAGAUUUAUCGCUGAAGGAUCGGCCCGCGUCUGAUUAGCUAGUUGGUGGGGUAAUGGCCCACCAAGGCGACGAUCAGUAGCUGGUCUGAGAGGAUGAUCAGCCACAUUGGGACUGAGACACGGCCCAAACUCCUACGGGAGGCAGCAGUGGGGAAUAUUGGACAAUGGGCGCAAGCCUGAUCCAGCCAUGCCGCGUGAGUGAUGAAGGCCUUAGGGUUGUAAAGCUCUUUCGUCCGGGACGAUAAUGACGGUACCGGAAGAAGAAGCCCCGGCUGACUCCGUGCCAGCCGCCGCAGUAA
rnacentral:rRNA from 1 species